CCAAAACCUCGGCUACCCAUAAUAACAGCGCUAAGCCCUAGCCGCUCCACCUCCAGACAUAGCCUUUCCCUCAUAUCGUGAUCCUUAACGAUGUGGAUUUUGAACGGAAUCUGAGCAUCAACUAACGGCUGAGAUAUGUCCGAGGCUUUAGUAGUAGUAAACGUGUCGAAAUCAUUCUCCAGUUUUCUUUGAGACUCUUCGUUUUCGGUAUCGACAAUGGAGAGAUCGACGGAGCCCCAAUCGGCGCCGUAGAGGACGGAAGUGGGACGGACGUGGACAAGGAUGACGGCGUCACCUGGACGGAGGUACUGAUGGACGGCCCACUUAACGGCGAAAGCGGAUUCGUCGCUUAGAUCGACGGCGAUGCCGAUCUUGCGUUGAGCACCGGCGGUAGGGGUAUCGGUGGUGGAAGGAGUGGUAGGAGGUGGGAAACGGGGGGAAGAGGAUUUGAUUUUGAUGUUAGCGAGGCGGGGGAGAUCGGAAUCGGAGGUGGGGGUUGGUUGUUGCUGCAUUUCUUUUGGGGAAAGUUUGGGG
rnacentral:lncRNA from 1 species